ACUGGAAACGGUGGCUAAUACCGGAUGAGCCGAAAGGUAAAAGAUUAAUUGCCUAGAGAUGAGCUCGCGUCUGAUUAGCUAGUUGGUGUGGUAAGAGCGCACCAAGGCGACGAUCAGUAGCUGGUCUGAGAGGAUGAUCAGCCACACUGGGACUGAGACACGGCCCAGACUCCUACGGGAGGCAGCAGUGGGGAAUUUUCCGCAAUGGGCGAAAGCCUGACGGAGCAUUACCGCGUGAGGGAGGAAGGCUCUUGGGUUGUAAACCUCUUUUCUCAAGGAAUAAGAACUUGAAGGUACUUGAGAAAUAGGCAUCGGCUAAUUCCUGGCCAGCAGCCGGGGUAUUCCGGAGGAUGCAGGCUUUUCCCGAAUUGUUGGGGCGUAAGGGGUCCUCAGGGGGCCCUGAAAGUUGGCUGUAAAUAAUGGGGGUUUACCCUCAUAAAG
rnacentral:rRNA from 1 species